CACGUAGGGUGCGAGCGUUGUCCGGAAUUACUGGGCGUAAAGAGCUCGUAGGUGGUUUGUCGCGUUGUUCGUGAAAACUCACAGCUUAACUGUGGGCGUGCGGGCGAUACGGGCAGACUGGAGUACUGCAGGGGAGACUGGAAUUCCUGGUGUAGCGGUGGAAUGCGCAGAUAUCAGGAGGAACACCGGUGGCGAAGGCGGGUCUCUGGGCAGUAACUGACGCUGAGGAGCGAAAGUGUGGGGAGCGAACAGG
rnacentral:rRNA from 1 species